CGGACGAGGCCAGCGGUGGAGUGGCGGUGGGAAGCUGGCUCAGCAUGCGUCCAAUCAGCUCCUCGUAGGUCUCCAGAACGCCGUGCAUGAAGACCAUCUUCAUCUGGAGAGGAGAGCCAAACAUGAAGCUGCUGCAGGAGCCACAGUGGAGGGUAGAAGAGCCAGACGAGGAUCUGGAACCGCAGGUUGGAGACCCCUGGACUGGAGGUUUGUGAUCCAGAAGCUUCUCCAGGCUGAAGUUUAAUGCUUGAGACUGUUUUUUAGACUUUCGCUUUCAGGUCUGCAAACCUUUAGCUGCUCGUUUGACAAGUCAGAAGUGAAAAAGUUUCAUGAGGUUCCAGACCAGGAAACACUAGAGCUGCUGCAUCUGAGAACAAACCGGUUCUAUAGACUGUGACUGAUGCAGAUCCUCCUGCAGCACGACUACGGCUCCCUAUGUGGGACCAAAAACAAGAAGUUUUUGUGAAAACUAAAUUAUUUUACAUCUUUAGAACUUGAUUCCGAUCCCAAAAAUGUAUUAAAAAAAACAAAGUGAAUGUGA